GAAACUUACCAAGGCUUGACAUGUUCUCGAUCGCCGUAGAGAUACGGUUUCCCCUUUGGGGCGGGUUCACAGGUGGUGCAUGGUUGUCGUCAGCUCGUGUCGUGAGAUGUUGGGUUAAGUCCCGCAACGAGCGCAACCCUCGUUCCAUGUUGCCAGCACGUCGUGGUGGGGACUCAUGGGAGACUGCCGGGGUCAACUCGGAGGAAGGUGAGGACAACAUCAAAUCAUCAUGCCCCUUAUGUCUUGGGCUUCACGCAUGCUACAAUGGGCGGUACAAUGGGUUGCGAUACUGUGAGGUGGAGCUAAUCCCAAAAAGCCGGUCUCAGUUCGGAUAGGGGUCUGCACUCGACCCCUGAAAUCGGAGUCGCUAGUAAUCGCAAAAAAGCAACGCUGCGGUGAAUACGUUCCCGGGUCUUG
rnacentral:rRNA from 1 species